rnacentral:rRNA from 1 species
UACGUAGGGGGCAAGCGUUGUCCGGAUUUAUUGGGCGUAAAGAGCGUGUAGGCGGUUAGGUAGGUCCGUUGUGAAAACUCGAGGCUCAACCUCGAGACGCCGAUGGAAACCAUCUAACUAGAGUCCGGAAGAGGAGAGUGGAAUUCCUGGUGUAGCGGUGAAAUGCGCAGAUAUCAGGAGGAACACCAAUGGCGAAGGCAGCACUCUGGGACGUGACUGACGCUGAGACGCGAAAGCGUGGGGAGCAAACAGG